GAAACAGGAUGUCCAUCAAUUUAUCUUAGGCAGCUAUUUUCCUAUCAGGACAUAGAACAAGGUGAAGUACUCUAAUAGUGAUGUCCCUUGAUUUUUUUUUUCAUAGGCUUUUGUGAAAGACCAAACCUCACCUGAAGGCCUCCAUAUAGUUACAAUGAAAAUAAGCCAUAUUGUGGAUGUUACACACUUGAAUUGAUCAGUAUAAUUAAGUUGAAGAUUGAAUAAAUUGAUGUAAAAUACACAGAUUUGUUUUAGGUCUUGAGAAGCAGCAGUUGGGGCCUAUUACUGAGCUGAUAGCAUGCCAGAAAGAAUCCUAUUUGCUUCACUCCACAGAAUCUUCUGCAAUACUUCAGGGCAUGAAUUUCUGCCACCUUCCUGCACAGAUAAUGGUCACCAAACUGCUUACAGAUCUGAUUGGUUCAUUAAUCGCUAAUUAGAAAACUAGUUCAACUGAAAAAGUAAUAGAAGUCAUCAAAUUGUGGGGAGGGGAAAAUGGAGGAAGAAUAGAAUGUAGGCUUUUGUGGUGAUGAACCAUUUGUUUGAACUCUGGUCUGUGGAAGGGAUAUCAAGACAUUUCCUGCUUGCUCCAAGCAGGUUCUAGAUUUGUACUCUUCCUCUUAUUUUUCCCAUUCCAUUCUCUGUACUACUACUAGUUAGUCUUGCUCUUCAAUUUAGAUUCACCUUUGAGAAUGAAGUUAAUGUCUUAUGCACACAAAGGUUUGUUUUGUACUUUUUUUACAAUCUCACUCCUGUGUUUCUGUGUAGGAAGAACAUGUCCUUUUGCAGCUGGAAGAAGGAAUUGAAGCCCUGGAGGCUGCUAUUAAUUACAAGAAUGAAAGUAUUCAGAGUCGCCAGUACUUGCUUAGAUCCUCUUCACAGAUCCUUUCACAGAGUGAGGAUAAUGCAAUAGGAAAACUAGUUUCCUUGUCUGCUGAUGAGCUCAGAGCUAUCCUCUUCAAAUACUUUAACAAGAACAAGAUGGUGAAGGUAUUGCAGAAACCUUGAAAGAGUAUGAAGUAAAAGUCCAGCAACUGGAAAAAGACUUCUUUUAUUCUAGAGAAAACCAGCAGAGAGCUGAAGAAGAAAUUGAAGGGCUUUUUUGGAGAGUCACCCCAUCAACUAAUGGCACCUACUAAAUAAACCGGGUGUUUAAGAAGGAAAUGCAGAGUUGCCUUUGUUUGGCACUCGAUGGUCUUGAGGUCUCUUCCAACGUAGACAUUCUGUGAUUCUGUGAAGUCACAAACGCCAAGGCAUCACACUGGCUGGCUCUGCAGCACAGAUGCCAGGAGUGCUGCUUGGCAUGGCGGCGGCGGCGCGGUGCCCCAGCCCCAGGCCCAUCCCAGCCCCAGCGCACGUCGCCCUCCGCUCCCCCAUGGAGCCCCCCGCCGCCUCAGCAGCCCCGUGGCGGACGCCCCAUGGCAGAGCCGCCCCCGAGGAGAAGGAGCCCGCAGCCCUCUGCCCGCAACGCACCGCACUGCACCAAGCGCCGCGCAACGGCUGCCACCACCGCGGGGGCUCCUGGUGUGAGCGGCAAGCGGUGGCAAGGGGGGGCUGUGCUUCCUGAGUCAAGCUGCUGGACUCCGGCUUGCCUGGGCAAUUGCCCAUGUUGCUGAGGAGGCAACAGAGCCAAAGCCCUUCGGGCUGAAGAUCCAGCACAGCUGGGGAGGCUUUGGCAUUUCUGCACAAUGCUGCUCAAUCCUGCUUGGGAGCCCAGCCUCAGGUGCGGAAUGAAGCCAAGCAAGCUCGAGGGAAACUGUGUGCUGGUAAGUUGUCAGUUCUUGCUUUCUUUUUCAUUCCUCACGCCUAAGAAAACCUAACUCUUUCAAGCACCUGUUUGAAGACACGGUUUGAUGGACUUGAUUCUGGGUGUGCUCCUUAAGCUUGUUCGGCAGCUGUUGAACCCCGCUACACUUGCAGGAGACCUAUGCUCGAGUUGAUGCUUGCUGUGAUCAAGCGGUGUUCUUUUGCUCUUCUUUGCUUUGGGGAUGGUGGGUGAGGUUGCAAAGAGUUUUCAGGAGGAUUCUUCUUUUCCUUUGCAGAAUCCCAGACUGCGUAUUAGAGCUGCUCUUCAUCUCUGCUCGGAAAAGCUUCACGGGCCAAAAGAGAAUGGAGAUGAGGAAGGCAAUGGAGAAUGAUGAGGACUAUUUGCAGUCAGCACGCGUAAGCUUUGUGAAAGAAUCAGGUGCAUUUCUGUAGUGGUAGAAAGCGUAGCUGGAAAGACUUCCUAAGAACGUCAAGUCCAAUUCAUUGUUCUCAGUUAGAGCAAUCCCGUAGUUUAGACUCCUGAUAAGGUAUUUGUCUGUAGGCAGCUGCCAACUUGUCCAGCUAAUCCAAUUCAGCCUGGAAAACAAGCAAGCAAGCAAGCAAUCAAAAAGCACAGAAACCUGCAGUUUAUGGAGUGCAACUGUCUCCUUUCUAAUCUCAUGGGUUUCACCAAGUUUUGGGUGACUCCAGGGCUGGCUUGCCAGGGAGACUUUCUUGAAUUGCUGGCAGAUCAGCCAGAAGGGCAAUACAAGGCCCUGGCUAAACACAAUCUGUAGGCUGCUUCUAGAUCAACAGUUUCCUUGGUUACUCCACAACCUCCACAAUCUCCACUUGCUUCGAAGCUGUGAAGAUUGCAAGUCCACUUUGUGUUUUUCAGCCACUCUGUGUCAAACGCUAAGAGUUUUCACUGGCUGUUAAAACAGAAAGGACAAAGAGCCCCUCCUCUGGGUCUUCAGAAGGCUCCUAAGAUCCCCCAGACUGGCUAAGUAGCGACGCUCUAGUAUAGAUGCAUCUAGAUGCAGUAGAGCUAGAUGGUGGGAGAGAGGCUCUAGCAUGGACGUGACACGCUUUGACAGCAUCUUUUCUC